AGUUUUGUACCCUGAUUCCUACCCUUUUAUGUCUGCCUUUCUUAGGCCUUCAGCACACUCUGUCAAAAUUAAUUUGACACCAGGCUGGCUUUCUCUAGAAAGUCUGGGAAACUUCUAAGCACGAGAGCAAGAUUCAUGUGGGAAGAAUUACCACAGCCCUUUCCUUAGGGCAGUCCUGAGAUUAGAAUCCUCUGUCUCCAGUGACAAGCCACUAAAGAAAGAGGCCGUUUAUCAAGGCUCAGGGAUGCCCUCUUCAAACCACAGACUCUCAUCACCUCAAGAGCCUGCCUCUCUGUACACCUUUGCUCUGCUUGGAGAAGUUCUUCAUUUACUUCUGGAAUCAGCUGCUGGAUCUGUGCCAGCGCACCUCACCUUCUGGUCCAGGAACCGCAAGGCACAAGGAGCCUGCCAAGCUGGGAAGACAUCACAGAACUCAGUCCUGGUCGCCCGUCUGCUGCCAGAUUUCUUAGUAAGGAAGAUAGUUUCUGCCCAGACAGCAACAUAAUCUUUCCCCCAGUCCCUGGCACAGAGACUGGGCCACCGUUGUCAACCUGCUGUGAGAACACAUUUAAUAUAUGCUGUGUCACUGGUGAAUCCUUGCUGAAUCCUGUUGGGCUCUGAGAGAGCACAGAACGCCAGCAUCUGUGCAUGGGCAAAGGGGCAGGUCUAAGU